rnacentral:tRNA from 1 species
CAGGACAUAGUUUAACAAGAAUAGUGGCUUUGGGGGCCAGAGGCGGGGGUAAGUCCCUCUGUCUUGA